UACAGAGGGUGCAAGCGUUGUUCGGAAUUACUGGGCGUAAAGCGCGUGUAGGCGGUUUGGUAAGUCAGACGUGAAAUCCCUCGGCUCAACUGAGGAACUGCGUCUGAUACUGCUAGACUAGAGUGUCGGAGGGGAUGGUGGAAUUCCCGGUGUAGAGGUGAAAUUCGUAGAGAUCGGGAGGAACACCUGUGGCGAAGGCGACCAUCUGGAAGACAACUGACGCUGAGACGCGAAAGCGUGGGUAGCAAACAGG
rnacentral:rRNA from 1 species